rnacentral:lncRNA from 1 species
ACAUUUCAUUCAUAAAAUUCAAGCACAGGUGCGUGGAAUUUACUACGAUUUACUACAGUUGCUACAAUUGGAUCUUCACAAAAAUACAAGACAUACAGUUGGAUUAUUCAGUGGAUUAUUACUAUGAACUGGUAAAUUAUUACAUGAACUUCAACUGGUUUAUCAAAUAUAUACAAAUGACAGUAAUUCAAUAUUUCUACAAGAAUCAUAAUAUUGUAAUUGUUCUAACUUUACUUUAUUAAAUGUUAAUUAAAAC